rnacentral:rRNA from 1 species
UACGAAGGGGGCUAGCGUUGCUCGGAUUGACUGGGCGUAAAGGGCGCGUAGGCGGCGGACACAGUCAGACGUGAAAUUCCUGGGCUCAACCUGGGGGCUGCGUUUGAUACAUGUCUGCUUGAGUUCGGAAGAGGGUCGUGGAAUUCCCAGUGUAGAGGUGAAAUUCGUAGAUAUUGGGAAGAACACCGGUGGCGAAGGCGGCGACCUGGUCCGAUACUGACGCUGAGGCACGAAAGCGUGGGGAGCAAACAGG